UUUAUAAUUUCUUUUCCUUUUUAUUUAAAUUUAUAAUUUAAUAUAAUAAGUUUCUAAUAUAGGUAGCUAGUGUGGCUACUAAUGUAAGUAACUAAUAUAAAUAUAUAUUACUAGCUAUUAUUAAUCACAGUUGAGCUAAUUCAAAUCAAAAUGAAUACAUUUUUUUUGCUACAAAAUAUGAUUUAUAAUGAACCUCUUGUUAAAUUUACAAUUAUUUCUGUAAAGUCUAACAGUUUUACCACAAAGUACUUAAUGUAUGGUUUCCAAGGCAUGACUGUUAUCACGUGAGUGAACUUUAUCAUGGCGAUUACCAGUCCGAGAGCAGUGUAUUGAUUUAUUUCAUUCUCAAACCAGCUCUUGGGUAGUGUAUUUCGACUGUCCCGUACAGUAUAAAUAGUUCAAAAUGGAAAACACUUUACCAUAUUUAGAAAAGGUAAAUAUAAGUUUUGUAUUCAAAAUUCAAUUCUCUAUGAAUAUUAUUAACUGAAUUGCACCAAAUAACAAAAUUGAAAACAAUAAAAAGAUAAUUUUUUUUUAAAAUUUUUGCAAAUAUGAAUAUUAGUCAUUUGGUCAGAGCACAUGACAAGGAUUUUCUUUUCCAUGAGUUAAUAUCAUGCAAUAAUUAUAAUCAUAUUUUAGGUAUUAGGAAGUAUUAAUCAAUCAAUUAUGGUAAUUUAUGUUGAUAAACAAUAUUGUUAUGAUCGAAAAGAAAA